CCCAAGGUAAAGAGUAUAAGGUCUACCUGCUCGAAAAGGCUCUUUAUGGCCGAAAACAAGUGCCUAGAGUUUGGAAUAGCAUGAUAGAUGAACAUUUGCUAAGUUUAGGCUUUAUAAAAAGCUUAUUUGAGGUCACUCUUUACGUUAAAAGAAGGGCAAUAUUAUUCUCAUAGUGUCUCUUUAUGUUGAUGAUCUUUUGGUAACAGGAGACAAUGCACAGCUAGUUGAGGAAUUCAAACAAGAAAUGAGCAUUUUUGAAAUGACAGAUCUUGGUCUUAUGACUUGCUUUCUUGGGGUGGAGGUCAAGCAAAGCCAAAAUGAAGUGUUCAUCUACUAGAAGAAGUAUGCAAAGGAAAUAUUGAAGAAAUUUCAGAUGGAUGAGUGCAAAGCAACAAGUACACCAAUGAGUCAAAAAGAGAGACUGAGUAAGAAAGAUAGUGCUAAUAAAGUUGAUGAAAGUUAUUAUAAAAGUCUGAUUGGUUGCUUAAUGUAUCUCAUUGUAAAGAGGCCUGACAUUCUAUUUGCUGCAAGUCUCUUAUCUUGAUUUACGCAUUGUGCUAGUGAAAUGCAUUUAAGAGCAGGAAAAUGAAUAUUAAGGUGCAAGUUUGAAAAGUGUCAAAACAUUAAGAUGUGUGGAUUCCUAGAUAGUGACUGGGCUAGGUGUGAUUAUGAUGAGAAACAACCUCAUGAUAUUGUUUCAACUUAGGUUCAGGAGUUUUCUCAUGGUGCUCAAAGAAACAGCAGAUUGUAGCACAGUCCACUAUAGAGGCAGAAUUUAUUGUAGCAACAGCAACAUCAACAAUAAACCAAGCUUUAUGACUGUAGAAAAUUCUGUCUGAUCUACAUAUGGAGCAAACGUAUAGCACUGUGAUUUCUGUUGACAAUCAGGCAACAAUUGCAAUUUCUAACGAUCCAGUGUUUCAUGGGAAACUAAGCAUUUCAAUUUCAAGCUCUACUUCUUAAGAGAUGUGCAACAAAAUGAAGUAGCAAUAGUAUACUGCAAGUCUGAAGACCAGCUAGCAUAUUUGUUUAAAAAACCACUUCCAGUCAGCAAGUUCGAGCUUCUAAGGAAGCAAAUUGGAAUUUGCAGUUCCUAAAGCAAUGAGGAGUGCUAAAUAUUGUUUCAGGACUGCACAUGACUUUUUAUGCUUCUUUAUUAUUAUUUUAGAUAUUUUUGUUUAUCAGUCAAAAGUUAGUCCUAGUCUUUAGGAUUUGUAAUUCAGUUUACAACUUGCUCUCCUUUCUUGUUUAAAUGGCUUGGACUUCGGC
rnacentral:lncRNA from 1 species